GAAUGUAUCGGAUACAAAUGUCAUGACAUUAGGGGAUGAGAUCCCAUGUAAAACCAUGUCUGGGACAUGGAAUUGGCAUUAUUGAAGUUAUGAGAGGCCUCACGUAAGACCAUGUCUGGGACAUGGCAUUGGCACCGAGAUGAGAGGUCCCCCGUUAGACCAUGUCUGGGACAUGGCAUGGGCACCGAUAUGAGAACUCUCAUGUAAGACCAUAUCUGGGAUAUGGCAUUUGUAGUACAUGAAACAUCCCAUGUAUGACCAUGUUUGGAACAUGGCUUUGGCAUGUUAUUAUGAGACAGGAUACCCGAGUAUCCUUAGUAUUCCAUGUGGUUCAACGGACUAGUAAGUAGACUAUGUUACAU
rnacentral:lncRNA from 1 species